rnacentral:misc_RNA from 1 species
UCCGGUUUGGCACCGGCAGUCUCCCAUGAGUCCCCGACAUGACUCGCUGGCAACAUGGGACAGGGGUUGCGCUCGUUGCGCCACUUAAGGCAACACCUCACGGCACGAGCUGACGACAGCCAUGCAGCACCUGUGCGGGCCCCCGAAGGGGCGCCGUGUUUCCACGGUUUCACCCCGCAUGUCAAGCCCAGGUAAGGUGGGGAUGACGUAGACCUUGGACC